rnacentral:rRNA from 1 species
GACGUAGGGGGCUAGCGUUGUUCGGAAUCACUGGGCUUAAAGCGUGUGUAGGCGGAUCGUUAAGUGUCUUGUGAAAUCCCACGGCUCACCCGUGGAACUGCUGGGCAUACUGGCGAUCUUGGGCCAACUAGGGGCAACUGGAACAAGCGGUGGAGCGGUGAAAUGCGUAGAUAUCGCUUGGAACGCCGAAGGUGAAAACAGGCUGCUGGGGUUGUGCCGACGCUGAGACACGAAAGCCAGGGGAGCAAACGGG